rnacentral:rRNA from 1 species
CCGCAUCCAUCAUGUGAAACUGAGGAAACUCGGUUCAACUUCUACCGGAGGCAGCAGUAGGAUUCGGUCAAUGACGAGAGUCUGACAAGCAGUAGCGUGCAGGAUGACGGCCCUAUGGAUGUAAACUGCUUUAUGCGGGAUAAAGUGAGGGACGUGUCCUCAUUGCAGGUACCGCAUGAAUAGGACCGGCUAUCCGUGCCAGCAGCCGCCGGUAAUACGGAAGGUCCAGGCGUAUCCGGAUUUAUUGGGUUUAAAGGGAGCCGUAGGCCGUGGAUAAGCGUGUGUGAAAUGUAGGCGCUCAACGUCUGACUUGCAGCGCGAACUGGUCCACUUGAGUGUGCACAACGCAGGCGGAAUUCGUCGUGUAGCGGUGAAAUGCUUAGAUAUGACGAAGAACCCCGAUUGCGAAGGCAGCUUGCGGGAGCACGACUGACGCUGAAGCUCGAAAGUGCGGGUAUCGAACAGGAUUAGAUACCCUGGUAGUCCGCACGGUAAACGAUGGAUGCCCGUUGUCAGGCUGUAUCAGUCUGGUGACCAAGCGAAAGCAUUAAGCAUCCCACCUGGGGAGUACGCCGGCAACGGUGAAACUCAAAGGAAUUGACGGGGGCCCGCACAAGCGGAGGAACAUGUGGUUUAAUUCGAUGAUACGCGAGGAACCUUACCCGGGCUUGAAUUGCCGGCGAACGAUACAGAGAUGUUGAGGCCCUUCGGGGCGCCGGUGAAGGUGCUGCAUGGUUGUCGUCAGCUCGUGCCGUGAGGUGUCGGCUUAAGUGCCAUAACGAGCGCAACCCCUAUUCUCGGUUGCCAUCGGGUAAUGCCGGGCACUCCGUGGAGACUGCCACCGUAAGGUGUGAGGAAGGUGGGGACGACGUCAAAUCAGCACGGCCCUUACGUCCGGGGCUACACACGUGUUACAAUGGCCGGUACAGCGAGUCGGCCGCAUGCAAAUGCGGUCCAAUCCUGAAAGCCGGUCCCAGUUCGGACUGAGGUCUGCAACCCGACCUCACGAAGCUGGAUUCGCUAGUAAUCGCGCAUCAGCCAUGGCGCGGUGAAUACGUUCCCGGGCCUUGUACACACCGCCCGUCAAGCCAUGAAAGCCGGGGGUGCCUGAAGUUCGUAACCGCGAGGAGCGACCUAGGGCAAAACUGGUGAUUGGGGCUAAGUCGUAACAAGGUAGCCGUACCGGAAGGUGCGGCUGGAACACCUCCUUC